GGCGGACACGCGUACGCUGGAGAAGCGAUAUUCGCUUGGUGAAUUAGUGAGCGGAUGUUUUCACCCUUCGGUUCAUUCGAGUGCCUCGUGGGACGAAUCAUUCACGAACGACAUAUUUCUCAUUGACUGGAACGAGUGGAACAGACAGUUUCGUUUUUGCAGUCUGCUGCCUGGGCCGGGCUACCACCACACGGCGUGAGCAGCGUGAGCGUCACUCACUUGGGCCGUCAGCUGCAGUUUAUAACGCUGAAAAACAGCAAGUGGGCCAAGGCAAACUAGGGUGACAAAGAGGAAACCAGGAGGUAAACUAAGGGUUACAAAGAAAGGUCAUCGCCCCAGGAACAUUUUGCCAUUGAGUUCAGCUUGCUUCUGAGAAGGUCGGCCGCGCAAUUGCUGAGGAUUGAUGCGGAUCUUCAGUGCUGAGUCCGUGGACGGCUUUUCUGGGUACCAUCUCUAUACUGUCAUCGCGGUACUGUUGCUGAACAGUCAUGAAGCACGUGGUUGCAGCUGCUGCGGUUGGAGCCGGCCUGGCAGUACUGGCUGCACCACUUGCCCUAGGAGCUCUAGGAUUCUCCGCAGCAGGAGUAGGAGCAGGGUCCCUUGCGGCUAUGUGGCACAGCGCCAUCGGAGUAGUGGCUAAAGGAAGCCUGUUUUCGCUCCUUCAGAGCUUUGGAGCAGCUGGGCUACCAGCAACUGUCCAAGUUGCAGUUGGUGCAGUGGGUGGAACAGCUGGUGCAGCAGUUGGUGCAGCAAUGAAAGCAGCAGGCUUCGGCUCAGGGAAAAAGGAAACCGAUGAAAGUGAAGAGAGCGAGGAAAAGUGCGAGGAAGAGUGCGAGGAAAAGUGCAAAAAAGCGGUUUAAGGCAUGCGUGGUCUGUAGCCUUUGUUUUUUUUUUUUUAUGAUGGACUGACCUGUAACCACAUAAGUCACAGGUCGCUGUCCGAACGCUACUGUGUACUGCAGUAAAGGCAGAUAAAUCUUGAGUAGACAAGA